UACGUAGGGGGCUAGCGUUGUCCGGAUUUAUUGGGCGUAAAGAGCGUGUAGGCGGCCAGGUAGGUCUGGUGUGAAAACUCGAGGCUUAACCUUGAGAUGUCAUCGGAAACCAUUUGGCUAGAGUCCGGAAGAGGAAAGUGGAAUUCCUGGUGUAGCGGUGAAAUGCGCAGAUAUCAGGAGGAACACCGGUGGCGAAGGCGGUCU
rnacentral:rRNA from 1 species